ACGGGUGCGGAACACGUACGCAACCUUCCUUCAAAUGGGGAAUAGCCUUUCGAAAGAGAGAUUAAUACCCCGUAACAUUUUCUGGUGGCAUCACUGGAUUAUUAUAGCUCCGGCGUUUGAAGAUGGGCGUGCGCCUGAUUAGGUAGUUGGCGGAGUAACAGCCCACCAAGCCUACGAUCAGUAACUGGUGUGAGAGCACGACCAGUCACACGGGCACUGAGACACGGGCCCGACUCCUACGGGAGGCAGCAGUAAGGAAUAUUGGUCAAUGGACGCAAGUCUGAACCAGCCAUGCCGCGUGGAGGAUGAAGGUCCUCUGGAUUGUAAACUUCUUUUAUCGGAGAAGAAACCCUAGCAUUCUUGCUGGGUUGACGGUACCCGAUGAAUAAGCACCGGCUAACUCCGUGCCAGCAGCCGCGGUAAUACGGAGGGUGCAAGCGUUAUCCGGAUUCACUGGGUUUAAAGGGAGCGUACGUGGGGUGGUAAGUCAGUGGUGAAAUCUCCGGGCUUAACUCGGAAACUGCCGUUGAUACUAUCAUUCUUGAAUAUUGUGGAGGUAAGCGGAAUAUGUCAUGUA
rnacentral:rRNA from 1 species